AUGGCUCAGGAUGAACGCUGGCGGCACGCUUAACACAUGCAAGUCGAACGAAACUUAAGGUGCUUGCACCUUUGUUAGUGGCGGACGGGUGCGUAACGCGUGGGUAACCUGCCCUUAGGACAGGGGGAUAACGUAUAGAAAUGUACGCUAAUACCGCAUAAGCUCACGGGAUCGCAUGAUCCUGCGGGAAGAGCUGAGACGGUCAAGGAUGGGCCCGCGUCUGAUUAGGUAGUUGGUGAGGUAACGGCCCACCAAGCCGACGAUCAGUAGCCGGUCUGAGAGGAUGGACGGCCACAUUGGGACUGAGACACGGCCCAAACUCCUACGGGAGGCAGCAGUGGGGAAUAUUGCACAAUGGGGGGAACCCUGAUGCAAGCGAUGCCGCGUGAAGGAAGAAGUGUUUCGGCACGUUAAACUUCUAUCAGCAAGGAAGAAUUCAGACAGUACUUGAGUAAGCAGCCCCGGUCUAACUACGUGCCAGCCGCCGC
rnacentral:rRNA from 1 species